rnacentral:ncRNA from 1 species
UGGCCUCUAAUGUGAGAGGGUACCCCCUGGAUUUAAGCAUAUUAAUAAGGGGAGGAAAAGAAAUCAACAGAGAUUCUCCUAGUACCUGCGAGGGAAAAGAGAAAAGCCCAUCCUGAAUCUAAGGUUUUGCCUUGGAGUUGUAGGGUGAGGAUGCUAUUCCUUAGGUCGAGAACUGUGAAAUUACCUGCAAAGGUAUUCACUAGUGAAUCCAUAGAGGGUGUUAGGCCCGUUANCGGUUCAUUCGAUCUUGUACGGAAUUGUAUCUGCGAGUAGGAUUGUUUGAUAGUACAAUCUGAAUAUGGGGGAUAAACUUCCUCUAAGGCUAAAUAUAAUGCAUAAGACCGUUAGUAAACAAGUACCGUGAGGGAACGUUGAAAAGUACUCUGGUAAGAGGGUGAAAAGAGUGUGAAAUUGCAUAGAUUUAAGCGUAACCAAGUAUCGACACCUGUAGUGUACUCUUUGGUGCAUUAAAGGUAUCCAACAACUCUGUUCUUGCUUUGCGAGGAUUGGGCUACACAUGCUAAGAAUGCCGUUGUAGAUGCGCUCUAUUAACGAAAAUCUUUUUGCUAUGCCAUUGCUUCACGGCUUUGGUGUGGUACCGGGGUCGUAGUUGAUAGGGUGUGUCGCAAACUAUCGGUCAUUAGUAUAUUGUUGGUAUGGUAUUUGGGAACGUCCCGUCUUGAAACACGGACCAAGGAGUCUAGCAUAUCUGCAAGCCGUAGCAAUUUUAAUUGUGAAGGCGUAAUGAAAGUGUAUUGUGUUAACAGCACAAACCGGGCCUUUCGGUCUGAGUUAGAGUAAAUAUGCUAGUACCCGAAAGGUGAUGAACUAUGCCCGGACUGGUUGAAGCCAGGAGAAAUCCUGGUGGAGGACCUCCCGCGGUGCUGACGUGCAAAUCGCUCGUCCGAGCUGGGUAUAGGAGCGAAAGACUCAUCGAAUCGCCUAGUAGCUGGUUCCUGCCGAAAUUUCCCUCAGGAUAGCGGAGAUUCAUAAUUAAUUUUGCCAGGUAAAGCUAAUGAUUAGAGAUCUUGGAGGUGGAUAACCUUCAAUCUAUUCUCAAACUUUAAAUGGGCAAUAUU